rnacentral:rRNA from 1 species
AUUCCAGCUCCAAUAGCGUAUAUUAAAGUUGUUGCAGUUAAAACGCUCGUAGUCGGAUUUCGGGGCGGGCCGACCGGUCUGCCGAUGGGUAUGCACUGGCCGGCGCGUCCUUCCACCCGGAGACCGCGCCUACUCUUAACUGAGCGGGCGCGGGAGACGGGUCUUUUACUUUGAAAAAAUCAGAGUGUUUCAAGCAGGCAGUCGCUCUUGCAUGGAUUAGCAUGGGAUAAUGAAAUAGGGCUCUGGUGCUAUUUUGUUGGUUUCGAACACCGGAGUAAUGAUUAAUAGGGAUAGUUGGGGGUAUUCAUAUUUAAUUGUCAGAGGUGAAAUUCUUGGAUUUAUGAAAGAUGAACUUAUGCGAAAGCAUUUACCAAGGAUGUUCUCAUUA